GUGGGGAAUAUUGCGCAAUGGGGGAAACCCUGACGCAGCAACGCCGCGUGAAGGAUGAAGGUUUUCGGAUUGUAAACUUCUUUUGUCGAGGACGAAACAAAUGACGGUACUUGACGAAUAAGCCACGGCUAACUACGUGCCAGCAGCCGCGGUAAUACGUAGGUGGCGAGCGUUGUCCGGAUUUACUGGGUGUAAAGGGCGUGUAGGCGGGACGGUAAGUCAGGUGUGAAAUGUAGGGGCUCAACCCCUGAACUGCAUUUGAAACUAUCGUUCUUGAGUGAGGGAGAGGCAGGCGGAAUGCCGUGUGUAGCGGUGAAAUGCGUAGAUAUACGGAGGAACACCAGUGGCGAAGGCGGCCUGCUGGACAUUAACUGACGCUGAGGCGCGAAAGCGUGGGGAGCAAACAGGAUUAGAUACCCUGGUAGUCC
rnacentral:rRNA from 1 species